rnacentral:rRNA from 1 species
AGGCAGCAGUGGGGAAUAUUGGACAAUGGGCGCAAGCCUGAUCCAGCCACGCCGCGUGAGUGAUGAAGGCCUUCGGGUUGUAAAGCUCUGUGGGGAGAGGCGAAAACAGUCAGCAAGAAACGGCUGAUUCUUGACGGUAUCUCCUUAGCAAGCACCGGCUAACUCUGUGCCAGCAGCCGCGGUAAUACAGAGGGUGCGAACGUUGCUCGGAAUUACUGGGCGUAAAGCGCGUGUAGGCGGACCGGUAAGUCAGAUGUGAAAUCCCUGGGCUCAACCCAGGAACUGCAUUUGAAACUGCUGGUCUAGAGUAUCGGAGAGGGUGGCGGAAUUCCUGGUGUAGAGGUGAAAUUCGUAGAUAUCAGGAGGAACACCGGAGGCGAAGGCGGCCACCUGGACGGUCACUGACGCUGAGACGCGAAAGCGUGGGGAGCAAACAGGAUUAGAUACCCUGGUAG